rnacentral:lncRNA from 14 species
GGACAUGAGACCGAAGAAGCCAGGACAUCCCCUACACGUUCCAUCCCUGGGAGCACACAGCCCUGGUACCCUCCUCAGUGCGAUGCUCUCCCCAUAGCGCAGCACAGGCACUAUUCCCUCUGCCAUCUCUCUCUUUUAGGCUGUUUUGGGGGCAGAUUUCACCUUGUGAGCUCCUUUCCAGCCCCAGCUCCUUUGGUAUCAAAGGACACCCCUUUAAUAUCAAACCUAGCAGGACCAUCCCCACCUCCUUCCCUUGGGAAGAUGAUCAACGGGAUGCUGUUUGCUCCUAUUGCAGCCAUAGGAGCCAUAGGAGACAUUGACCCCCUCCAAGCAGAGCACAAAGCAAAACCAGCACCACAAACCCUGCAGGAGGAAGAGGAAACCGGAUCAAACCCUGCUGGGGAGGGCUCAGGCUCCUGCCGAGGCUGAAGGCUGAUGAGGAUGCUGCUGCUUCCCCUCCUCCCUCCCGGCAGCGCCGCUUCCGGCACAUGGCUCCGCAUCUCCAUGCUUGGAGGAGCUCGGCUGCAGCAUCGGAGCCCAGCAUCCAUCCCGGCCCCUCCGGGAGCAGUGGGAUCGGGAUCGGGAUCAGCGCAGCCAAGGGGAUCGCAGCCAGGUCCUGGGACUGUCUGUGGAUCACUUAGCCCUGGUUUCCUGAGCCAACCAAGCUCUAUGGUGCUUGUCCAUCUUCCUCCAUGCGGUUCCUUGGACCCCCGACCAGCUCCAUGUGAUUGUGUAGAAAACAUGGAUCUGAAGGAGGUUAUACCCAGCAAUCCAUGAGGAACCAACCUGAGCUCAGCUGCUUGCACAAUAACUCACUCAGCCUUCCAAUGGACAGGGUUGGGGUUGGGGCUGGGUGAUCCCUGUGUUCUGCCCAUGUGUUCAGGAUGCUUAAACCCUCUGUCAGUUCAAAACCUGCUUGUAGGAAGCUGCAGGGGACAAAGGGGCCCAAUGCCAGGACCCAGCUGUGCUGGGAACGAUGCAGCUCCCAUUGCUGCUCAGAGCAGGGAUGCACAAGGUGAUCUUGAUGCA